AGAUCAAUUUGAACGCCUUCAACCACUAAUUUGAUUAAAAGGAAACGUUUACAAGCAAAAUGAUGAUCAUGAUUCUGAUGCUAAUAAUGAUGGUAAAAAGUAUAAUAAACUAGCUGUUGAAAAGCUACUGACCAUGUAUAGACCUGGGUAAUUGGACGAUCCCUUGCCUCAUCAUCAUUUUUAUCAUCAUAAACAACAUCUUUCUCUCUCUGCCUUUCGUGAUAAUAAGAAUAAGAAGGAACCAAAAAAAUGAAAUAAAAAUAAUGAUCUAUGGAUGCAGUUCGUAUUUCCAAUUGAUCAUAAUUACGAUCAUCAGAGCGACUUUUGCAAAAAGCCUCAAGAAAUAUUCACAUCCCUACCUAAUCAUCAUCUCAUCAUCAUUAAAUUGUAAUCUCUUUCAACUAACACCCAUUGGUUAACCUGAUACCGAUAAUCAAGUUUAUUUUUCACUUUAACUUGAAACAAAUUAUUUCAAGAAUCAAAAGUUCUGGUCAAAUGAUUGAGAAAAGUUUAUCUCAAUUUAUUGAGAAACUUGAAGAUGAUCAACUUUUCAUCAUUUAAAUGUAUUUCAAUUACUUGUUGAAAAAUUGAAAUCUCUUGCCUUGAAUCUUCGAUCAUGAAAUUCUCAUUUAUCAAUCAUAUUGUACUUUUUCAUGUUGACCAUCAAAUUACUUGGUUCAUCUCCAUUCCAACCCUUAAAUAUCAAUCAGUAAAUCAUGUUAUUACAAUUAAAAUGAUUCUUUAAUGUAAAUCAGAACUUUUCGUCCAAAUCAUGACCAAUCCCAAUGCUUUUAUUUUCAGGUUAAACUCAAUCAUUUUCAAUCAUUGUUUUCAUUCAGAUUAACAUUUUUCCAUGAGACUAUUGAUAAAUGUCUAAAGUUCAUCUGAAUCAAUCAAGUUGAAGUUGUUGAUAAACAUUUUCAGACGAACAAUAAUGAUGAAAAAGGUUUUGCAUUAAAAUCAAUGAUUAAAUUGGACAAUGAACAUUAAUUAUAAUGAAUGUAUGAUGAUGAUAAUGAGCUUAUUAAAUUGCCUAGAGACAAUUGAAUGGAUUUAUGAAAGUAAUCAAAGUAAAUCUGGAAACAAAACAAAAACUAAAUUAACUGGCUUUUAAUAGCUUCAACCUUUUUCAGUUGAAAAUGUUGCUCAUUUAAAUCACUUUAAAUAAUUGUGAGAAAAAUUGAUUAAACUAAAUUUAAUUAUUUAACAUUUUUUCCCUUAAAAUCAAAAUAAAGACAAAAUUCAUUGUUUUCUUUGCUUUGCUUUUGCCUUUACAUUGCAAAUGAUCGGUAACUUUGCUUACCUUAAGCUAUUAUCUUCCAUUAGCUAAUUAAGUUAAUGAAAUUAAUUGUGGUUAGUCGUUAUUAAUGACUUUAACCAAUCAAUGUGAACAUUAUCAAGCAAGGUUAUUGAAUAAUCAUCAGAAUCAUUCGUCAUUCAAUAUUUUCCAAUCCAUUUGUCGUUCAUCACAAAUCGAUCAUCUUUUUGUUAAAAAGUUAUUAAUA